GAUGAAAAACGUAGCGAAAUGCGAUAAGUAGUGUGAAUUGCAGAAUUCAGUGAAUCAUCGAAUCUUUGAACGCACAUUGCGGCCAUAGGUAUUCCUUUGGCCAUGCCUGUUCGAGCGUCAUUUACACCCUCAAGCCUAGCUUGGUGUUGGGCGUCUGUCCCGCCGUUCUCGCGCGCGGACUCGCCUCAAAGUCAUUGGCGGCGGUCGUGCCGGCCCCCUCGCGCAGCACAUUUGCGCUUCUCGGAGGCCCGGCGGAUCCGCGCUCCAGCAAGACCUUUCACGACUUGACCUCGGAUCAGGUAGGGAUACCCGCUGAACUUAAGCAUAUCAAUAAGCGGAGGA
rnacentral:misc_RNA from 1 species